rnacentral:rRNA from 1 species
UACAGAGACCACAAGCGUUAUCCGGAUUUAUUGGGCGUAAAGCGUUCGUAGGCGGUUUUGUAAGUUAUCUGUUAAAUCCUCAGGCUUAACCUGGGGGCUGCGGGUAAUACUGCAAGACUAGAGUGUGGGAGAGGUAAGCGGAAUGCCCGGUGUAGCGGUAAAAUGCGUUAAUAUCGGGUAGAACACCAAAGGCGAAGGCAGCUUACUGGAACACAACUGACGCUCAAGAACGAAAGCGUGGGGAGCGAAAGGG